GGCUCACCUAGGCGACGAUCCCUAGCUGGUCUGAGAGGAUGACCAGCCACACUGGAACUGAGACACGGUCCAGACUCCUACGGGAGGCAGCAGUGGGGAAUAUUGCACAAUGGGCGCAAGCCUGAUGCAGCCAUGCCGCGUGUGUGAAGAAGGCCUUCGGGUUGUAAAGCACUUUCAGCGGGGAGGAAGGCGAUAAGGUUAAUAACCUUGUCGAUUGACGUUACCCGCAGAAGAAGCACCGGCUAACUCCGUGCCAGCAGCCGCGGUAAUACGGAGGGUGCAAGCGUUAAUCGGAAUUACUGGGCGUAAAGCGCACGCAGGCGGUCUGUCAAGUCGGAUGUGAAAUCCCCGGGCUCAACCUGGGAACUGCAUUCGAAACUGGCAGGCUAGAGUCUUGUAGAGGGGGGUAGAAUUCCAGGUGUAGCGGUGAAAUGCGUAGAGAUCUGGAGGAAUACCGGUGGCGAAGGCGGCCCCCUGGACAAAGACUGACGCUCAGGUGCGAAAGCGUGGGGAGCAAACAGGAUUAGAUACCCUGGUAGUCCACGCCGUAAACGAUGUCGAUUUGGAGGUUGUGCCCUUGAGGCGUGGCUUCCGGAGCUAACGCGUUAAAUCGACCGCCUGGGGAGUACGGCCGCAAGGUUAAAACUCAAAUGAAUUGACGGGGGCCCGCACAAGCGGUGGAGCAUGUGGUUUAAUUCGAUGCAACGCGAAGAACCUUACCUGGUCUUGACAUCCACAGAACUUUCCAGAGAUGGAUUGGUGCCUUCGGGAACUGUGAGACAGGUGCUGCAUGGCUGUCGUCAGCUCGUGUUGUGAAAUGUUGGGUUAAGUCCCGCAACGAGCGCAACCCUUAUCCUUUGUUGCCAGCGGUUCGGCCGGGAACUCAAAGGAGACUGCCAGUGAUAAACUGGAGGAAGGUGGGGAUGACGUCAAGUCAUCAUGGCCCUUACGACCAGGGCUACACACGUGCUACAAUGGCAUAUACAAAGAGAAGCGACCUCGCGAGAGCAAGCGGACCUCAUAAAGUAUGUCGUAGUCCGGAUUGGAGUCUGCAACUCGACUCCAUGAAGUCGGAAUCGCUAGUAAUCGUAGAUCAGAAUGCUACGGUGAAUACGUUCCCGGGCCUUGUACACACCGCCCGUCACACCAUGGGAGUGGGUUGCAAAAGAAGUAGGUAGCUUAACCUUCGGGAGGGCGCUUACCACUUUGUGAUUCAUGACUGGGGUGAAGUCGUAACAAGGUAACCGUAGGGGAACCUGCGGUUGGAUCACCUCCUUACCUUAAAGAA
rnacentral:rRNA from 1 species